rnacentral:rRNA from 1 species
AGAGUUUGAUUCUGGCUCAGAAUCAACGCUGGCGGCGUGCCUCAGACAUGCAAGUCGAACGCGAAAGGCCCUUUCGGGAGCCGAGUAGAGUGGCGUCCGGGUGAGUAACACGUAGGUAAUCUACCUCUGGGUGGGGAAUGACAGUCGGAAACGACUGCUAAUACCGCAUAAUGCAGCGGCAGCACAUGCUGACAGUUGUUAAAGCGGGGGAACACUUCGGUGUCCUCGCGCCUAGAGAGGAGCCUGCGGCGGAUUAGCUAGUUGGCAGGGUAACGGCCUACCAAGGCAACGAUCCGUAGCCGGCCUGAGAGGGCGGUCGGCCACACUGGCACUGACACACGGGCCAGACUCCUACGGGAGGCAGCAGUCGGGAAUUUUGGGCAAUGGGCGCAAGCCUGACCCAGCAACGCCGCGUGAAGGAUGAAGCUUUUCGGAGUGUAAACUUCAUAAGAAUGGGACGAAUAAGGAAGGGCUAAUACCCCUUUUGAUGACGGUACCAUUUGUAAGCUCCGGCUAACUCCGUGCCAGCAGCCGCGGUAAUACGGGGGGAGCAAGCGUUGUUCGGAUUUACUGGGCGUAAAGGGCGCGUAGGCGGUUAACCAAGUCACUUGUGAAAUCUUUGGGCUCAACCCAGAGCGGCCAAGUGGUACUGUUUAACUAGAGUGCGGAAGGGGCUACUGGAAUUCUCGGUGUAGCGGUGAAAUGCGUAGAUAUCGAGAGGAACACCUGCGGCGAAGGCGGGUAGCUGGGCCGACACUGACGCUGAGGCGCGAAAGCCAGGGGAGCGAACGGGAUUAGAUACCCCGGUAGUCCUGGCCUUAAACGAUGGAUGCUUGGUGUCCGAGGUUACAUAGUCCUCGGGUGCCGGCGCUAACGCAUUAAGCAUCCCGCCUGGGGAGUACGGUCGCAAGACUGAAACUCAAAUGAAUUGACGGGG